UUACUGGGCGUARAGCGCACGUAGGCGGCUUUGUAAGUAAGAGGUGAAAGCCUGGKGCUCAACACCAGAACUGCCAYYGAGACUGCAUCGCUUGAGUCCRGGAGAGGUGAGUGGAAUUCCGAGUGUAGAGGUGAAAUUCGUAGAUAUUCGGAAGAACACCAGUGGCGAAGGCGGCUCACUGGACUGGUUUUGACGCUGAGGUGCGAAAGCGUGGGGAGCAAACAGGAUUAGAUCCCCUGGUAGUCCACCSCGUAAACGAUGAUCWCUAGCUGKCGGGGCWCUUAGAGCUUCGGUGGCGCAGCUAACGCAUUAAGUUAUCCGCCUGGGGAGUACGGCCGCAAGGYUAAAACUCAAAUGAAUUGACGGGGGCCUGCACAAGCAGUGGAGCAUGUGGCUUAAUUCGAAGCAACGCGCAGAAC
rnacentral:rRNA from 1 species